GAGGGGCAGCGGGGAGUGAGGCUUGCCUUACUCUGCCGGCGACCGGCGCACGGGUGAGUAACACGUAUGCAACCUACCCUUUACAGCGGGAUAACCGGAAGAAAUUUCGCCUAAUACCGCAUAUACUCCUUGGGAGGCAUCUUCCGAGGGGGAAAGAAUUUCGGUGAAGGAUGGGCAUGCGUCGCAUUAGUUAGUUGGCGGUGUAAUGGACCACCAAGAACGACGAUGCGUAUGGGUUCUGAACAGGAACGGUCCCCCACACUGGUACUGAGACACGGACCAGACUCCUACGGGAGGCCUCAGUGAGGAAUAUUGGUCAAUGGCCGAGAGGCUGAACCAGCCAAGUCGCGUGAGGGAAGAAUGUCCUAUGGAUUGUAAACCUCUUUUGUCAGGGAGCAAAGUCACCCACGUGUGGGUGUUGGAGAGUACCUGAAGAAAAAGCAUCGGCUAACUCCGUGCCAGCAGCCGCGGUAAUACGGAGGAUGCGAGCGUUAUCCGGAUUUAUUGGGUUUAAAGGGUGCGUAGGCGGGUUAUCAAGUCAGCGGUAAAAUCGUGGAGCUCAACUCCAUCCAGCCGUUGAAACUGAUGAUCUUGAGUGGGCGAGAAGUAUGCGGAAUGCGUGGUGUAGCGGUGAAAUGCAUAGAUAUCUGGAAGAACUCCGAUUGCGAAGGCAGCAUACCGGCGCCCGACUGACGCUGAAGCACGAAAGCGUGG
rnacentral:rRNA from 1 species